CAUGGCUCAGAUUGAACGCUGGCAGAAGGCCUAACACAUGCAAGUCGAACGGUAACAUGAAGCAGCUUGCUGCUUUGCUGACGAGUGGCGGACGGGUGAGUAAUGUCUGGGAAACUGGCUGAUGGAGGGGGAUAACUACGGGAAACGGUAGCUAAUACCGCGUAACGUCGCAAGACAAAAGAGUGGGACCUUCGGGCCUCUUGCCAUCGGAUGUGCCCAGAUGGGAUUAGCUAGUAGGUGGGGUAACGGCUCACCUAGGCGACGAUCCCUAGCUGGUCUGAGAGGAUGACCAGCCACACUGGAACUGAGACACGGUCCAGACUCCUACGG
rnacentral:rRNA from 1 species